AUGAAAAUAUUAGCUUGGAACUGCCGGGGGCUUGGGAAUGCCUCGGAAGUUCGAGCGUUGCUGGAUGUCCAGCGACUUUGUCGCCCAGAUGUGAUGUUCUUGUCGGAGACUCACCUCGACAUUUUUCCGGCAGAGUGUUUAUGCAAGAGACUGAAGAUGGUCCACAAGCUUAUGUGUCCUAGUGAUGGUAGAAAAGGGGGCUUAGCUCUAUCCUGGAAUAGUAACAUUAAAGUUCAUAGGCUAGCCCUAGAUGUUAUGUUUAUUGAUGUGAGAAUUGAAGAAAUAAAUAGUACUAUUUGGCGCUUGACUGGGAUGUAUGGCGAAUUCAAAUGGGAAAAUAAACACCUAACGUGGAUCCGUAUGCGGCAACUCCACCAGGCGCAUGAUCUCCCUUGGUUGCUCAUAGGAGAUCUGAAUGAGAUAUAG
rnacentral:rRNA from 1 species